CCAGCCCUAAAGGGACUGGGCUUGCAAGAGUAAUCAAGCAAGCCGUACUGACCAGACCACCCUGAGUUUACUCUCAUGGUAGCCGUUAUUUGAGUCACGACACCCCGGAAUGCGAAGCUAGUUCCCUGCUCUGUC
rnacentral:sRNA from 25 species